rnacentral:rRNA from 1 species
UACGUAGGGUGCGAGCGCUAAUCGGAAUUACUGGGCGUAAAGGGCUCGUAGGCGGCCAACUAAGUCAGACGUGAAAUCCCUCGGCUUAACCGGGGAACUGCGUCUGAUACUGGAUGGCUUGAGGUUGGGAGAGGGAUGCGGAAUUCCAGGUGUAGCGGUGAAAUGCGUAGAUAUCUGGAGGAACACCGGUGGCGAAGGCGGCAUCCUGGACCAAUUCUGACGCUGAGGAGCGAAAGCCAGGGGAGCAAACGGG